rnacentral:rRNA from 1 species
GAUGAACGCUGGCGGCGUGCCUAAUACAUGCAAGUCGAGCGAAUGGAUUAAGAGCUUGCUCUUAUGAAGUUAGCGGCGGACGGGUGAGUAACACGUGGGUAACCUGCCCAUAAGACUGGGAUAACUCCGGGAAACCGGGGCUAAUACCGGAUAACAUUUUGAACCGCAUGGUUCGAAAUUGAAAGGCGGCUUCGGCUGUCACUUAUGGAUGGACCCGCGUCGCAUUAGCUAGUUGGUGAGGUAACGGCUCACCAAGGCAACGAUGCGUAGCCGACCGGAGAGGGUGAUCGGCCACACUGGGACUGAGAGACGGCCCAGACUCCUACGGGAGGCAGCAGUAGGGAAUCUUCCGCAGCGGACGAAAGUCUGACGGAGCAACGCCGCGUGAGUGAUGAAGGCUUUCGGGUCGUAAAACUCUGUUGUUAGGGAAGAACAAGUGCUAGUUGAAUAAGCUGGCACCUUGACGGUACCUAACCAGAAAGCCACGGCUAACUACGUGCCAGCCGCCGCGGUAA